rnacentral:rRNA from 1 species
UACAGAGGUCUCAAGCGUUGUUCGGAUUCAUUGGGCGUAAAGGGUGCGUAGGUGGCGGGGUAAGUCAGGUGUGAAAUCUCGGAGCUCAACUCCGAAACUGCACUUGAUACUGCCUUGCUUGAGUACUGGAGAGGAGAUUGGAAUUUACGGUGUAGCAGUGAAAUGCGUAGAUAUCGUAAGGAAGACCAGUGGCGAAGGCGAAUCUCUGGACAGUUACUGACACUGAGAGACGAAAGCUAGGGGAGCGAAUGGG